rnacentral:misc_RNA from 1 species
GGAAGAGUGUGCAUGGUGGGACCCAGUUCUGCGUUGCCCAUGGUGGCGGGAAGAGGUGCUCUGCACCCGACUGCACUAAGAGUGCGAGAGGGCGGACUGAGUUCUGUGUUCGCCACGGUGGGGGAAAACGCUGCAAGUCUGACGGAUGCGGGAAGAGUGCACAAGGCAGUACUGAUUACUGCAAGGCGCAUGGGGGAGGUAAGCGGUGCUCAUGGGGACAAGGCGAACCAGAUUUGGGCAUUGGUGGCCAAUGCGACAGGUUUGCUAGGGGAAAAACUGGCCUAUGUGCCGCACAUGGU